AACGUAGGGGGCAAGCGUUGCCCGGAUUCACUGGGCGUAAAGCGCGUGUAGGCGGUCCGUUAAGUCGGGUGUGAAAUCUCCGAGCUCAACUCGGAAACUGCACCCGAUACUGGCGGACUUGAGGACGGUAGAGGUCGGUGGAAUGACGAGUGUACCGGUGAAAUGGACAGAUAUUCGUCGGAACACCAGUGGCGAAGGCGGCCGACUGGGCCGGUCCUGACGCUGAGACGCGAAAGCCAGGGUAGCGAACCGG
rnacentral:rRNA from 1 species